rnacentral:rRNA from 1 species
AUUGAACGCUGGCGGCAGGCCUAACACAUGCAAGUCGAACGAGUGGCGGACGGGUGAGUAAUGUCUGGGAAACUGCCUGAUGGAGGGGGAUAACUACUGGAAACGGUAGCUAAUACCGCAUACCAUCAGAUGUGCCCAGAUGGGAUUAGCUUGUUGGUGGGGUAACGAAUCACCAAGGCGACGAUCCCUAGCUGGUCUGAGAGGAUGACCGUACAAACGGGAACUGAGACAAGGUCCAGACUCCUACGGGAGGAAGCAGUUGGGAAUAGUUCACAAUGGGCGCAAGCCUGAUGCAGCCAUGCCGAGUGUAUGAAGGAGGCCUUCGGGUUGGAAAGUACUUUCAGCGGGGGGGCGUUACCCGCAGAAGAAGCACCGGCUAACUCCGUGCCAGCAGCCGCGGUAAUAC